AUGGACUUAUCUUUAUCCCUGGAAUCGCUCCAACGACUCAGCCAUACAACUAGCUACUCAUGCAUGCUAACAAACUCAUCCAUGAAGCUAGCUAACCACUUGCAUGCAUCUAACCAAUCCAUCCAGCCGGUGCCGCUUCGCCGUCCAUGCGCUUGCCGUACGCACGGCCGUGCCGCCUCGCGCAGCUUUGCAGCCUCUCGCUGUCAUCGGCAUCUCGCCGUGCUCGCCAUCUCACACGGCAGCUUGGCAUCACGCCUUUUUCGCACGCCUCCCCUGAACCCUUGCCGACCUACAACUUCUGAACCUACACUACAUGCCUAA
rnacentral:rRNA from 1 species